AUCGGGCCGCUUGGUUCGGCUUCCCCCUCUCUUCCCAUUCACGUGCGUCUCCGUGAGCUCAUCGAGUCGCUGCCGAUUUCCACCUUCAAGCCCCAAACACCUGGGAAUCGACACCUGGGUGUCUGCCCUUCCUGCCUUUCAGAUCUCGUCUUUUCUGGGUAAAUACUUAGGUAAAAAAGCAUGCUGCAGACACAGCCGAUGGAGAGAUGCGGCGCUGAACACUCUUCAUAACCAGGCUGUGCUCGGCUUUGCGGGCGGCAGGGCGGCAGCAGCCCUGCUCUGUGUUUAAGCUGUUGCUGUUGGGUCCUAAUUUUCUUUUUUUCUGCAAAUUUAUGCGCUAGAUGACAAACAAGCCCUGCAAUAGGAAAUCUUCCAGAUGCGUGGGUUCUUUUCCAGAGGAAAAUCAUAUUAGAGGUUAAGUGAUGAUGCUCCGCUAUAAAAGUGUCUGGUGGAGGGAAGGGACCGAUUCUUCCUCCUUCCUCCCCAACUCCUCCUUCCACUUCUUCCUUCGGUAAAUUUCCCUUCAAUUGCACAGUGCUUGUCCAAGGCUGCUGCCUCCGGGCAUCUCGUUUUACCCAUUUUUCCACGUUUCUUAUACCCCCCCAAAACCUGGGCACGAUCUUUCAGCCCAGAGGGACCGAACGAUGUUCUCGCUGCCACCCACUUCUCCUCCGCGCGAGGGGCAGCCUCCCCUCCCAAAGGAUGCGAUGCGAGCCGAGCCCUGGCGUAGUAAAAUCUAUUUCUGCUCUCCAAAAGCGACUCUGGUUACUCUUGGCUGACCCAGUUAUUUCACGGAGCAGGAAGCGGCCGGCUGGAAGCGAGCUGUUACGACAUGGCCCCCUUGCAUCCGCGGCUAAGCCGAUAUAUAUAGCUGACGAUGGAGCUUGAUAGGGCUCUCCGCUGUUCCCUUCCUGUUUUGUUUUUGGGGGUUUCCUUUUGAUAAAUAUUGGGAAAAUUCUCCUUAAAAUAGAAAAGCCUUAGACAGCGUGAUUUCCGAGUGGAUUUAGCGUCCUCCCCCGUCUUCCAUUGCCAUUUUCAGUACCUUGAAGACAGAGGAGUCACAAGCGUCUGCUUUGCUGCUGCUGAAUCUUUAUAGCAGUGAGUCACGUCAGGAAAUUCUGAUAGAGUUAAUCACGUAACGAGAGAGCUUGCACUGCCGCCGCAGAGCAGUCAGAACCUUAAAUGGGCCUGCAGCAGCUAUUUAUUUAACUCCAGGACUCUCAGCGUAUUUAUGAGCAAACCGACAGGAUAAUGCUAAUAUUUAAAGAUGUGCAAGGGGGUGGAAAGCUGCUCGGAGGGCUGCAGCUGGGCAGUGAUAAGAGCUCUUUGCAGCAGGCAGGAGCGGCACAUCUGUCGCAGGCGUUUCUGACUUUUCUGCUGUGGCAUCCGAAGCGCUGGGCUAAACGUGCCUGGUGGGGGGGAAGGAGCAAAAGGAGGAUUUGGCUGGAAACCCCGUUCUUCCUUCCAUGCCUUACACCAGCCCAAGCCGUUUGACGAUGGAUGGAGACUACGAGGCUGAAUACAGCAAUUAAAUCUUGUUUAGCCCUUCUCGUGGUGUUUACUGGAAGCCAGAUGUUCGGCAGAGCUGCAGGGAAAACGGCCACAUUCGGCAUGGGGAAACGGGGCUGGGACUGGAGGCUCUUCCCUGCUCCAUGGAGCCCGUGGGCAGCUGUUCUCUUGGAUCCUGAGGGCUGCACGUUGGGAUGUAGAGAUGUCUGAGCUCUGCCGUUGCUCUGCGGGGAGAAAGCCUGGUCUGGAGGAUGCUGCAGCCGGGGAGCAUCCUCUGGCUGGAGCGGGGUGGCCCGAGAAAUGAUAUUUCUUCUGCAGAGGUGUGGCACAUGCAGUGCUGCAGCCCUACGUGAAGGUUUUGCAACAGCAUUGGUUCUGCAAUUUGUGUAAAAUGAGGGAGGGAUGGGGAAGGAGGGAGGCAGCCCAGAGUUUCUGCCUGCUGUGAAAGGCUCUUCGGUCUUGGAAGUGGCUUUUCGCCAAGUGGUGCCUGAGACUUUGUAUUUCUGUCAGGGGCUGAAUUUCCUGCAAAAGGGGAACGGGGAAUUCACGUUAGAGCAAUAGCAGAUGAGGAAUGCUGUUUGAGCUCUGUGGAGGGAAAUUGCGAGUCAGAGCAUCCUCUGACGGGACCGCAUUACCAAACCAGGGCGGCUCUGCUGCCCUCAGACCUGCUUCUUUUUGGACCUGCCGGCGAGGUUGCUGCCGUUCUGCAUCUCUCUUAAUUAAAACGAGGGCAUUGUUGCAAUCCAGCCUUGACAGGUUUCCGUCCCCGGCAGGGCUGUAGCAGAGGCUGUCGUCUCCUUGAGCACAGCAGCCAGGCAUGUCAUGUCACCCUUGGGAUUUCUUCCUAAAGUCUGUAAUCUUGUGCAGAUGGAAAUUAUUGCGGAGAGCAGCCCUCGCCGCUGCUGUGUCGGGGCUCUCCUGGGGCAGCCCAGAGGUGGAUGUGGGAAGAUGCUGGAGCCUCUCGCACAACCCCCCCAGUGUUUAUGGAGGUCGUGUGAAGCCGGAAAAGGCUCCCCCAUUCCCAAUGGCUGGGCUGCAGCCCCUCAAUUCCCACAGCAGCCGGUGGGGAGGGUCAGCCUGUGGGGCAGGGGGCGAUGGAGGAUGGAGGCAGGAGAAGCAGAGCGGGGCGGAGGAUGGAGCGGGCAGCCCUGGCCCAAAGGCUGGCCCUGGCUGCAUGCCCGGGCAGUGGGAGGGCAAGCUUUGAUCUGCUAUUAAAGACCACAGAAAGAGAAAGUAAAACUUCCCUUUUUUUGUUCAGGGACUGCCAGAGGUGCCGCAGGGACGAGCAGGGUGCUGCAGGCUGGGGACGUGGUGCUGCUUACGGGUGUCCCACGUGUCCCCCUCCUGUUUGUCCUGCUUGGGAGAUUUUCCUGCCCGGCAGACAGCUUGUCAAAUAUACAAAUGCGAUUUGACGUGGCUGCAGUUCAGCACUUGAUUGGUGUGGGUGGGAAUAUCUCCACCGGAGGUCUGGGGAGAUGGGGGAUGCGGCUGAACGCACAGAGCUGGCUGUGCCAGCGUGUAACGCACAGCCGUGUCACGGCUCCUGCUGACUGAUCAUCCUGCAGAACUACACGCAGAGAAAUCCUCCCCUCCUCCCCAGCUUCGUGUGAUUGCAGGGCAGAGGAUGCUUUGCGUCUGCUCCUGCCAUCGCGCUGCUUCCUUGCAGGCUCCCCUUGCUGCUGCUGCAGCUCCCUGUAGGUUUUUUUCCAUGUACCCUGGGAGCAGCGAUGGACUCCAGGCAGGAUACGCUGCUGCUGGCAGGGCACGUGGGAGAGGAAAAGCAAACAGAGCCCUAAGUGUGAAGGUUUUUUUCCCAUGCUUUUGCGUUUCCUGCCCCAGCAGCGCUGCUUCUCUCAGGGAAGUAGCGUGUGUCCUGGGAGCCCCAGGAUGAGGGAAAGUUGCUGCGUGCCGAGAUGGUGGCGGCUGGUGCUGGUGGGAGCGCUGGGAGGAGGACGGGUGCCCGAGCCGGGAGGAUGCUGCCCUGGGAGGAAGGGCUGCUCCGUACGGAUCUCCAAAACACGUUACUGCUCCCUCCCUUGUCCCCCCUGAGGCUGUGCAGGACCCAAAGAAGUUCCUUCAGGUCGUCUUUCCCUGCUGAGGCAUCUCCCCCAGCUCCUCCGUCCUCAUCCUCGGGGAGCUUCGUGAGAAUUAACCGCCUGGUUUGGAAACCAAGUCCAUGGAGCACCUGUGUUAAGCAGCAGCAGUUCCCCUGCCUGCACCCAUUCUGGGUCCGAUCCUCAGGGACACCAAAAAGUCAGAAGCCCUCUUGCUCCGGGAAGGGUCACCCAGUCGCGGGGAGCUCAUGGGGCCGAGGAUGGGGCUGGGCAGUCCCCGCUUCUUCCCCUCAACUCUCCCUGCCCCAAAAUAGCAGAAGAACGUGACUGACGGGAAGGCGAUAGCUGAUCCUCCUCGCUUCUCCUCCAGCCACCGAGUGCAACCCGAGACGAGGUGGCGGUGGCAUUUGGGAGCUGCGUGAUGCAAGCCCGAGCGAGGCGACACCGUCCGGCAGUCUAGACGCUGAAUAUGACCCUACCUUUUUUUUUUUUUUUCUUCCCUCUCUUUAUAAAUGGUCUCUCCUCCAGUACAGAAUGUCCUCUGCCUUCUGAAGUAUUUGUAAUAUUUCCACGCCCUCAGUUGCCAAAAAAACUUCUAUAAAAAGCUGCUAUUUCUGCAAAACUGAAACCCGCUGGUACUCCUAGAUGCACAGCAUUCCCAGGGCUUCGCCCGGCUUCGUUAGCACACCGAGCAGCAGCCCGGCAUGGCUGGGUGCAGCUGGAGUUAAAUGCAGAAAGGCCUUGGAGCAGAGCACGGGACAUGGGGACAGUCACUCCUCGCCCUUGUAAAAUUGCACCCCAUUGCAAAUUGUGAGGGUGCAGCCCCGUUCUCCCCCCAUGGCAGGACGUGCCCUGCUGCCACCCACUCUGCCUCUUGCCAUUUGCACCACGAAAUAUUCCUUUAGGUUCCUCUUUGCUGGAAGAGUGCCUUCAAUCUCCUCUUUAAACCUUUUUAUCUUCCCUCACGCCCCGCCGCAAAACAAAACAGUGCUUCUCCUAAAAUAUUGGGGCUGAAGUGGGGUCCUGGUAAAUGCAUGUGAGCGUUUGAGGGGUGGCACCAGCUCUCCCCUGGUGCGGUCUGGGGAUGCUCAGCAGCACCACGAGGAUGCUUGGAGGCAUCACGCACGUCCCAGCGCAGAGACAGAGCCGGCCAAGCACCGAGGCAGGGUUUGCUGCCUUCUGCUACCACGAGCAGAGGUUUGGCAGUAGCGCAGCUAUUUCUAAAUAUGUCUAGGGGAUGGGUGUGGAAGGAAAUCUUACCAUUUAGAGAGUCUGCCAAAUUGCAAUGUACUCAGCUUUUUAAAUUGGGAGGCCCGAGUGUGCCGCUGCCAACUUCUUCAUUUCGCUCUUUUCCUCUUUUAUUGCUUUCCUAUACUCAUCCACAGCUGUUGUGUAGGAUCCAGACGAACACCAGAAACUGGACUGUAAGAGAAAUAACGAGAUGGAAUCGCAAAGUGACUGAAAUGGAAAAAAGUAUUCCCCUUUCCUCCCCCCUUCGCCGUCCCCAUUCUGCCUGUCGAGUAACAUCACUUCGUAUGUCACUGCGUGAGUCAGUGAAUUUUUUCAUCCUUACUCGUCUGUUGACAGAGACCCUUUAAAUAGCCUUCCAUCCUGAAGACAUUAGGAGAUGCUUGCAGACCUGGUCCCGCCACCUUCCCUAGGAUUAUUCUCCCUCUGAUGGCUCUUUAUGGCCCGAUGCAGAGGCUAUAAAUGGAUUUAUUCUCUUGUUUGUGGCACUUAAUCUAAUGAGUUUAAUUCGACUUCAGCUGCAGUUCAGAAACUUCAGGGAAAGGCUCGAAGUGCCGUCUGGGCUCUAAAAGGCAUCUGGUUAACCGGAGCCUGGGGAUUCCGUCCCACUCAUGGAAAAAAACAUCAAAACAUUCAGCGUUUGGCUCCUCCUGUCUCUCCGACGGCCCUUUUUAUUAGCCUUGUGCUAACGGUUGGCUCCGUCGCUGCUCUGUGCUUCCUCCUCCUCCUCCCCUUGGGUCCCCCCGACCGAUGCCGCCUGAUUUUGGCUCCGGAUACCGCUCACACAGCAUCUGCAAGAAGUGCCCUCAACUCUGCAAACCCAUCUGACAGCUUCAGAGACCAUUUUUCGGGUGGCUUUACAGAUCGCUGCCCCGGCAGUGAGUCGCUAAUCCAGUGGGCGCUUGGGUUUUCCGUAGGGAAUUUGGGAAGGCAAAGCCCGUGCCAGGGUCAGCCCCGGUUUGGACAGUGCCCGUGACACUUGUCGGGCAUCUCAGGAGGCUUCGCAGGAUGUCCUGACAGAGCUGCUUGCCUGGGGCAGCAGGCGCAGAACUUGGCUUUUACCCAAAUAAAUAUUUAAGCAGCCGGGCAGCUGAAGAACCCAUAAUAAAAUGUUCUGAAUGCGCGUGGGUAUACAAACCCAGCAAACUGCUGAGGACCUGCUCCGCCGUCAGCUGGGGUACCGCCUCCGGUACAACUGGGCUCUUAUCUCCAGGCGUUCCCAAAGCUAUGUGCUUUUUUUUUUUUUUUUUUUUUGCCUUAGGUUUGUUUUGCAGACUUUAUCUUGAAUGAGUUUAUGUUAAAGAUAAGGCAGUGAUACCUAGGUCUGUCAGCUUACGCCUCGAAACAGGAUUUGCUGAUU